rnacentral:misc_RNA from 1 species
GGGUAACUAUGACUCUCUUAAGGUAGCCAAAUGCCUCGUCA